UUGAGAAACUAGCCUCAUUCUCAUAAACAGAAGCUGGAGUGGGAGGUGACAGUGGUGGCAGUGAAAUUGGUGGCCUGGACCUGCUAUAGUCCCAGCUGAGCCCCAGUCGAUGAGAAGACCACACUGAUUGAUGAGCCUAGAGGUUACAGCCUGCUUUUCAAGGUGAUAAUGAACUCACAGACUUCAGUACCACCUUCUGCUGGACAGUGUCAGGAUAUUAAUUGUUCCCUCCCAUAGCCCUGAAUGAAUACAAAGCCCUAAAUUGGUAAGGAAGGCUAUUGGACUGGUAGGAAAUAUUUCUCAUUGCCUGGGAAAGGAAGAAUUGGUUAGAUGGUGUGAAAUUCAACCGUGGGACUCAUAUCUCUGAAACAGUGGACCUCCUUACAAACAAGCCACUGCCUGAUGAAUGAUCUCCAGGAUCCUUCUUGGGUUCUAGGGCCAGCUUCAGUCAUAAUUCCCCUGAAUUCAUACAGCAUCACCUGCUGGGUCAUUGUGACUUUAGGCCCACCGUACAUGAUGCAUUGGAAUCUCCAUAGCAAACCUGAAUGAAUGUUCAGGCAGCACUGAAGAUAACAGGCAGAGCAGAGGACAUACUACUAGUCACUCUGCCAAAGGCCAUGCCUGAGGUACAGCUACACCUCUCACAGCUCGAAUGCUCCACUAGAGAGGUUCCACUGCUACCCAGCUAUUCAGACCUAACUGCCAUCAUGCUGUAAAGCUGCCUGCCCCCAGAAAGCAGCACCUUGCCCAUGGUAUUCGCCUACCACAUACAAAUCCAAUAGAUUAUGUUCUAUUUUUCUCAUCCAUGAGCAACAGGAAGUAGCAAAAUCUUCAACCUGAAUAGUUGUGGUAAUGUUGGGGAAUGUUCCAGCAUGCAUAAUGCUAGGGAGAUAUCUGCCCCAACCAAGAGUAAGUAGUGCUGAUAACUUGGCCCACAAUUUGCUAAGGCCAAUAUUUUUUCUCCCACCAGAGCAUCUCUUUAGCAGACAGGCUACUGACACAGGAACAAGCUAAUCUGGAUUGCCCAGUGAAAUAUACAAAAGCAGCAGAUACUGUGGACAAUAAAGGCAAAUUCUUUUUUCCUGAACUGAACUUAAAGUACUGAAAAAUAAACAUGCUCUCAUUUGGGAGAAAUGUUUUUACCCUCUACUCUAACAUUGUACCAACUUUCCUUUUGAUUAAUGGUAUCAAGAACCUGUUGCUUUUUUGGGCAGGGGUGGGGCGCUUUUUUGGUCCAGUUUUCACUAUAAUGCCUAUGUCUUCCUGAUUCUUAGCUCCUUGUCUUUAACCAACCAUAGUAGACACAACAAUGACUCCCAAAGAUGUCCUAGUCCUAAUUCCUGGAAGCUAUGAAUA